rnacentral:lncRNA from 1 species
CCCAGCGACCCCAUGGACUGCAGCCCACCAGGCUCCUCCGUCCAUGGGAUUUUCCAGGCAAGAGUACGGGAGUGGGGUGCCAUUGCCUUCUCCAUCUCUCUAUUCCAGUAGUUCCCAAACUUUGCUCGUUCAUCAUGUUCACCUUCUUUGAACAUGCUUUAUUUGCUGAUAUUUUUCUUUAAAUUGAUUCAUUUAAAAUCAAAUGCACUGAUUUAAAAAAAGAGAAUGCAUUCUUAUUGGCUAAUGAAAAACUAUUUUCACUUUCCAUAAACAGAAGUUUAAAAAAUAAAAGCCUAAAUAUCUGAAGAAGUUUGUCCAUAUACCGUGUCAAAUCAUUUGGUGUUCCCCAGUAGGUAGGUGUUGGUAAAGAAUCUGCCCACAAGGCAGGAGACACAGAUUCGAUGCCUGGGUCAGGAAGAUCCUCUGGAGAAGGGAAUGGCAACCCACUCCAGUAUUCUUGCCUGAAGAAUCCUAUGGACAGAGAAGCCUGGCGAGCUACAGUCCUUGGGGUUGAAAAGAGUCGGACAUGACUGAGCAACUAAUGCUUCACUUCACUUCAGAUGUUAAGUUGAUUAAUAAGCUUCAAGAUCCUACUUGCUACAAUGAAGAUGGAAGACCCGCAUGCUGCAACUAAGUCUCGGCUCAGUCAAAAAAAACCCCAGAGCUCUCACAUGCUUCCUGUUCCCAGAGGGGUGACGCUGCCUUCCUCAACAUGGCCACGAGGCCUCCAGGCCCACUUAAUUCUGACAGACUUGAAUUCGAGCACAACGCGAGGCCUUCCUUGGUCAGGACCUCCCCUCACGUUCUGGGACCCUCGGAUUUCACGAGUGGAUGGCACGAGACAAAACGGCUCCUCUUCUCACUCUCUCCUCCCUUGCCCUCUGCAGACUGGGUGUCCUGCUUGACUUUCAAAACACUGCAAAGUUUGCUUUAACCAUUUUACAAUCUAGGAGGCUGGUCUACACCACCUCUAGCCCUUCCUGCCAACAUCCAGGAGUAGACCUCCACCUUCAUCUCACCCCUGGAGUUUCUCUCAAGCCAUAGAAGGACCCAGGGUGAGGGGCCCUUGAGCCGGCCUCACACUGCACCUUGCGACCUGGGGACCCAGCUAAGCCAAGUGCAGC